CCUACGGGAGGCAGCAGUGGGGAAUAUUGCGCAAUGGGCGAAAGCCUGACGCAGCGACGCCGCGUGAGGGAUGAAGGUCUUCGGAUCGUAAACCUCUUUUAGCAGGGAAGAACGGUCACUGUGCUAAUCAGCAGUGAAUUGACGGUACCUGCAAAGUAAGCACCGUCUAACUCCGUGCCAGCAGCCGCGGUAAUACGGCGGGUGCGAGCGUUAAUCGGAAUUACUGGGCGUAAAGCGCUCGUAGUCGGUAUGUGAAGUCAAGGGUGAAAUCCCCGCGCGUAACGUGGGAACUGCCUUUGAAACUGGCAAACUAGAGUGUGUGAGAGGAUAGUGGAAUUCCAGGUGUAGGAGUGAAAUCCGUAGAUAUCUGGAGGAACAGCAGUGGCGAAGGCGACUAUCUGGAACAUAACUGACGCUGAGGAGCGAAAGCGUGGGUAGCAAACAGGAUUAGAUACCCGAGUAGUC
rnacentral:rRNA from 1 species